UGAAUUAUAUUUUUUCAGUUAUGGAUGGAUAUAUAUAUAUAUGUGUGUGUGUGUGUGUGUGUGUGUGACACUGCCAAGAUGGAAAAGGCGUGAUGAUUUUCAUUUGAAAGCACUAAACAAAAUCAGUUUGAAUCACAUAUAUUCAAUACUCAAUUAUAAUUACAAAAAUAACAGUCACAUAGAGAAAAGAACGCUUUCUCCAUAUUCUCUGGAGAGUAAAAAACAGAAAAAGCGUGCGCUCAACGGUUUUCUUUUCGACAACUGUGUUGCCAUUUACAUCAAUUUUUAUUAUAAAUAACAUUUAAUAUUUUUAUAAAUAUUUUAAUGUUUCAUAUAUAUACAGCAGAGAACUAUG
rnacentral:lncRNA from 1 species